rnacentral:rRNA from 1 species
UAUAGACCCGAAACCCGGUGAUCUAGCCAUGGGCAGGUUGAAGGUUGGGUAACACUAACUGGAGGACCGAACCGACUAAUGUUGAAAAAUUAGCGGAUGACCUGUGGCUGGGGGUGAAAGGCCAAUCAAACCGGGAGAUAGCUGGUUCUCCCCGAAAGCUAUUUAGGUAGCGCCUCGUGAAUUCAUCUCCGGGGGUAGAGCACUGUUUCGGCUAGGGGGCCAUCCCGGCUUACCAACCCGAUGCAAACUGCGAAUACCGGAGAAUGUUAUCACGGGAGACACACGGCGGGUGCUAACGUCCGUCGUGAAGAGGGAAACAACCCAGACCGCCAGCUAAGGUCCCAAAGUCAUGGUUAAGUGGGAAACGAUGUGGGAAGGCCCAGACAGCCAGGAUGUUGGCUUAGAAGCAGCCAUCAUUUAAAGAAAGCGUAAUAGCUCACUGGUCGAGUCGGCCUGCGCGGAAGAUGUAACGGGGCUAAACCAUGCACCGAAGCUGCGGCAGCGAACGUAUCACCCAAGACAACUUUACGGAGUUGACGAUUGACGGAGCGAAGCGACGUCAAAGCGUUCAUUAAAGUCGAGUUGGCUUAGGGAUACGUUCGUUGGGUAGGGGAGCGUUCUGUAAGCCUGUGAAGGUGUGUCGUGAGGCAUGCUGGAGGUAUCAGAAGUGCGAAUGCUGACAUAAGUAACGAUAAAGCGGGUGAAAAGCCCGCUCGCCGGAAGACCAAGGGUUCCUGUCCAACGUUAAUCGGGGCAGGGUGAGUCGACCCCUAAGGCGAGGCCGAAAGGCGUAGUCGAUGGGAAACGGGUUAAUAUUCCCGUACUUGGUGUUACUGCGAAGGGGGGACGGAGAAGGCUAUGUUGGCCGGGCGACGGUUGUCCCGGUUUAAGCGUGUAGGUGUGUGUUCCAGGUAAAUCCGGUUCACUUUAACACUGAGGCGUGACGACGAGGCACUACGGUGCU